rnacentral:rRNA from 1 species
GGGGAAUAUUGCGCAAUGGGGGCAACCCUGACGCAGCAACGCCGCGUGCAGGAAGAAGGUCUUCGGAUUGUAAACUGUUGUCGCAAGGGAAGAAGACAGUGACGGUACCUUGUGAGAAAGUCACGGCUAACUACGUGCCAGCAGCCGCGGUAAUACGUAGGUGACAAGCGUUGUCCGGAUUUACCGGGUGUAAAGGGCGCGUAGGCGGACUGUCAAGUCAGUCGUGAAAUACCGGGGCUUAACCCCGGGGCUGCGAUUGAAACUGACAGCCUUGAGUAUCGGAGAGGAAAGCGGAAUUCCUAGUGUAGCGGUGAAAUGCGUAGAUAUUAGGAGGAACACCAGUGGCGAAGGCGGCUUUCUGGACGACAACUGACGCUGAGGCGCGAAAGUGUGGGGAGCAAACAGGAUUAGAUACCCUGGUAGUCCACACCGUAAACGAUGGAUACUAGGUGUAGGAGGUAUCGACCCCUUCUGUGCCGCAGUUAACACAAUAAGUAUCCCACCUGGGGAGUACGACCGCAAGGUUGAAACUCAAAGGAAUUGACGGGGGCCCGCACAAGCAGUGGAGUAUGUGGUUUAAUUCGAAGCAACGCGAAGAACCUUACCUGGGCUUGACAUCCCUGGAAUCGAGUAGAGAUACUUGAGUGCCUUCGGGAAUCAGGUGACAGGUGGUGCAUGGUUGUCGUCAGUCUCGUGUCGUGAGAUGUUGGGUUAAGUCCCGCAACGAGCGCAACCCCUAUUGUCAGUUGCCAUCAUUAAGUUGGGCACUCUGGCGAGACUGCCGGUGACAAAUCGGAGGAAGGUGGGGACGACGUCAAAUCAUCAUGCCCCUUAUGCCCAGGGCUACACACGUACUACAAUGGCCGAUAACAAAGUGCAGCGAAACCGUGAGGUGGAGCGAAUCACAAAACUCGGUCUCAGUUCAGAUUGCAGGCUGCAACUCGCCUGCAUGAAGUUGGAAUUGCUAGUAAUCGCGGAUCAGAAUGCCGCGGUGAAUACGUUCCCG